GACGAACGCUGGCGGCGUGCUUAACACAUGCAAGUCGAACGAAGAGCGACGGAAGCUUGCUUCUAUCAAUCUUAGUGGCGAACGGGUGAGUAACGCGUAAUCAACCUGCCCUUCAGAGGGGGACAACAGUUGGAAACGACUGCUAAUACCGCAUACGAUCUAACCUCGGCAUCGAGGAUAGAUGAAAGGUGGCCUCUACAUGUAAGCUAUCACUGAAGGAGGGGACUGCGUCUGAUUAGCUAGUUGGAGGGGUAACGGCCCACCAAGGCGAUGAUCAGUAGCCGGUCUGAGAGGAUGAACGGCCACAUUGGGACUGAGACACGGCCCAGACUCCUACGGGAGGCAGCAGUGGGGAAUCUUCCGCAAUGGACGAAAGUCUGACGGAGCAACGCCGCGUGAGUGAUGACGGCCUUCGGGUUGUAAAGCUCUGUUAAUCGGGACGAAAGGCCUUCUUGCGAAUAGUGAGAAGGAUUGACGGUACCGGAAUAGAAAGCCACGGCUAACUACGUG
rnacentral:rRNA from 1 species